rnacentral:rRNA from 1 species
GACGAACGCUGGCGGCGUGCCUAAUACAUGCAAGUCGAACGCAGUGGGGACGGGUGAGUAACACGUGGGUAACCUCCCAUCAGAGGGGAUAACACUUGGCAACAGGUGCUAAACCGAUACUGAUGGAUGGACCCGCGGUGCAUUAGCUAGUGGGUGAGGUAACGGCUCACCAAGGCCACGAUGCAUAGCCAACCUGUGAGGUGGAUAGUCCAGAAUGGGACUGAGACGAGGCCCAGACUCCUACGGGAGACAGCCGUAGGGAAUCUUCGGAAAUGGAAGAAAGUCUGACCGAGCAACGACGCGUGAGUGAAGAAGGUUUUCGGAUCGUAAAACUCUGUUGUUAGAGAAGCGGUAUCUAACCAGAAAGCCACGGCUAACUACGUGCCAGCAGCCGCGGUAAUUC